rnacentral:misc_RNA from 1 species
UUUCUGUAGGUGAACCUGCGGAAGGAUCAUUAUUGUAUAACCGAGGUGCGAGGGCUGUCGCUGACCCGAAAGGUCGUGCACGCCCGAGUGCCCUCACACACAUCCAUCUCACCCCUGUGUGCACCACCGCGUGGGUCCCCCUUUGGCUUGUUCGGAGGGGGGCUUACGUUUUCACACAAACUUUGUAUGCAGUGUAGAAUGUAUUUUUUGUUUUUGCGAUCACGCAAUCAAUACAACUUUCAACAACGGAUCUCUUGGCUCUC